rnacentral:rRNA from 1 species
UGGGGAAUCUUAGACAAUGGGCGCAAGCCUGAUCUAGCCAUGCCGCGUGUGUGAUGAAGGCCUUAGGGUCGUAAAGCACUUUCGCCAGGGAUGAUAAUGACAGUACCUGGUAAAGAAACCCCGGCUAACUCCGUGCCAGCAGCCGCGGUAAUACGGAGGGGGUUAGCGUUGUUCGGAAUUACUGGGCGUAAAGCGUACGUAGGCGGAUCAGCAAGUAUGGGGUGAAAUCCCGGGGCUCAACCCCGGAACUGCCUCGUAAACUGUUGGUCUUGAGUUCGAGAGAGGUGAGUGGAAUUCCGAGUGUAGAGGUGAAAUUCGUAGAUAUUCGGAGGAACACCAGUGGCGAAGGCGGCUCACUGGCUCGAUACUGACGCUGAGGUACGAAAGUGUGGGGAGCAAACA